GAACUUUAGUUGUCGUUAUAACCACCAAUAAAUCGACCACGUUUUGAUAGUUUCAUAGCCCAAAGUUGGGAAUUCUCUUUAAGCAAAACUUUUAGUUCUUCUCAGUACCUUUUAAAUGGGCAUUUACUUGUAAUUGUCUGUUAAAUAGAUUGGUAGAGGUGGUUGUCCGAUUAUAAGUCGAAUCUCUAAUGUGCAGUAUCUCAGGCUGAGUUUAGCUGUAGGUCAUGCAUAGUUGAGGGCUAUAAAGAUAAAUUUGGGUGCAACUUUAUUGCAAAAGUCGUGGACAAUUUUCAAAACUUUUCCAACGCGUGUUCGUUGUAGUUUAAGUUGAGUAUAGCAGGAGUUAUAGGUUUUUGAAUUUUAGUUGUCCAUUGUUUCAAUCCUAUCAGUUUUGCAACAAAAGUGUUGCAUUGUUUUAUCGGUUUGGAAACCAAAUUCGAGACACUCAUUAUAAUAAAAGUUUUAGGGAAUGUUAUAAUCUUUUCAAUGAGUUUAUAUUUGCAAAAUUUUGUUAGCUGUAGGGAGUUAUGAUAUAGUGUAUAGAAUGUGCUUGGAUAAAUAUGUGGGCAGGCAUAACAUGCUUAAAUUGAUUCUUGUUUGCAUGAUGUGAGAUUAGGCUUAAAUGAUUUAAAAAGUUAUCAUAUUGCUUCUAUACUUAUAUUUGUUCUAAGUGUCUCGUAAUGAAGAACCUAAAAUUAUUAGUCUUUCGAUGAACGAUGAACGCUUUAUCUUAGAAGAGUAAUGAACCUCAUAAAAUCUAUUGCUUGUUGUUGGGACUGCAUGACCAGUUUUAGUUAUGCAGCUAGUUCAAUAAAGUAAACCAUCUUUUCUGUAGAGAUGUUAUAUAUAAAAGUUGUAGCCAACUUCUUUAUCUUAUUUGUGUAAAAAUUUCAUGACCAUAGGUCUAGUAGUUUGGGAGUUAUGAUUUUCUCAAGUCCAGUCUUGGAAUCUGUCCAGAUUUUGUACAGACUUCGAAACUGACCUCGUUUGCCCAAUUUAAACUUCGAAUAAGUUCUUAUAAAUUAUAAAUAAGUUGUAGUACUUUUCUUAAUCUUUUCAACAAAUUUUGGAUCACCUUUUUUGGAGAUCUAUAAGUUAAGUUACAGCUGUUUUAAGUGUGAUCUUUGAAUCUGUCCAAAUUUGGACAGCAGAGCCUUUCUCAUGUCUUUUUGACCUUGAUAUGCAUUGAAUUAACAUGAUAUGUUAUAAAUGAAUUAUAGACAAUUCUAUUAGAUUUCUAAAAAGUCUAGGAGCACCUGAAUUGGAUGACUGAGACUCCAAUUAGGGAUUUUUUGAAUUGAGUAGUUGAAUUCUGUCCAAGUCUGGACAGAAUUUACGUUUAGCAUUGUUUGACCUUUCUAUGUGUCAAAUCUUGUUGUGAUGAUAAUACCAAGGGUAUAGUGGACUUUAUAAGAUUUCCAUAAAGUCCUAGUCUACUAUUUUGGAUGCAUAUUUUGUGAGUUAUGAGCAAAACAAUUAACCACUGUGCUGCUGUCCAGAAAUAUGCAAGCAUUAAGUUGCUCUCUUGAAGUUGCUCUUGUUUGGCUAAGUUUGGUUUAGGCUAUAGGAACACUAUAUGCAUUGCAUUCAUAUAUACAUUCCUUGAAGUACUUGCAUAUGUCAAUGUUGAUUUGGUGUCAGGAAAGCUUUGUCCGAGGUAUAUAGGACUGUCUACUAUCUUAGCCGAGUUGGCAGCUGGGCUUAGUACAUACAAUUGUCGGAAUCUAUAAUCAUAGUACACCAUGUAUUCCAUGUCUUUAUGUUGAGGAAGUAUUUGAGGAAUCCAGACCAUCAAAUCGAGCUAGAGUCGAUUCCCUGUGUAGCAAGACCAGACUCUAGAGUGUCGUCUGCUGCGUAUCUUAGAAUCCUAGGAGCUUGAGGAGCUGAUGUGGCAGAAGUACCCGAACUUUUCAUUAUGUGUGAGUUUUGUUGAUUCAUUAAUCUUGCUUUUGUCGUUCCGAUAAAAGCGUCAGAAUUCGAGGUCGAAUUCUUUUUAAGGGGGGUAGAGUGUGAUACCCAGUUUGCAAAGAAGAGAAGUUGGAGUUUAUUCUUUCUUGUUUUUUUGCUUCUCCUUUGGGUAGUGCACUUUUGGAGUUUGGAAUUGUUGGGUAGCAUUCGCUAGUAAAACAAUAGAAUUUUGGUUAGACUUGUGCGCCGGGGUCGGGAGUUGACGCGUGAGCGAGUUGGGCCGUGGUUCUUGAUCCGGCCCACUAACCCCCCUAACCCUAGCCGCCCCUUCCCCUAAUUCCCUUCCCCUUGUGCAGCCGCCCCCCCCUCUCUAGCCUUUGGCCUCCAUCCCCUCCCCCUAAUUCCCUCUCUCUUGUGCAGCAGCCCCCAUUCCCUCAACCCUAGCCGCCACCCCCCUCCCAUCUCCUCCUCUCCAAGUGAUGUCCUUCCUCGCCGGAUCUUCUUCGUGUGGGUGCAAGUUCCGAUUGGAGAAUUGGUGGGAGGAAGGAAGGAGGAAAGGAGGAACCCAAGGUGGUGGACUUCCGGAUCGUACUUAGGGAUUUGCCCAAACUUCCGGUACUUGAUAUAUGUUGGGAAUGAGGGGAGUAGCAGCACGUCCACUUUCACUCUCAUAUUAAGGCUGCCCAAGCGCAUCCAUGAUUUAAUUAGAAACUUGAUGUCAAAGGAUGUUUGUUUUUUUACUAGUCAUGCGCAUUGGUUAAUUCAGUUCAUGUCGUAUGUUUAACUUUCCUUUGCUAGCCGUUUAAUAAUACUUAGUAUGUUUUUUGUCAUGAUACAUGUUUAUACACUGUUGCCCCCUCCUUUAUGCUAUUUUGCAAAGGAGAUGUUGUCGAAAUUUUAUAUAUGGAUGUCA